GGCUGUGUAGUUCAGUGGUAGAACGCAUGUCUCAUAAGCAUGAGGUCGGGAGUUCAAUUCUCCCUACAGCCA
rnacentral:tRNA from 1 species